AGUGAACGCUGGCGGCGUGCUUAACACAUGCAAGUCGAACGGUAACAGGAAGUAGCUUGCUACUUUGCUGACGAGUGGCGCACGGGUGAGUAAACUAUAGUUAAUGUGCCUCGAAGACUGGGAUAGCCACUGGAAACGGUGAUUAAUACUAGAUACACCUCUUUAGCUCAAGCUAGAGAGGGAAACGUUUUUUCGCUUCGAGAUCAGACUAUAUCCUAUCAGUUAGUUGGUGAGGUAAUGGCUCACCAAGGCAAUGACGGGUAGCGGUUCUGAGAGGAUGAUCCGCCACACUGGUACUGAGACACGGACCAGACUCCUACGGGAGGCUG
rnacentral:rRNA from 1 species